GCAGUGAUUCACUGUCCGAGUUGUAGAUUGAAGAGAAUGUCAUCCACACUGGACCACGUCUAAAUUGUAAUGAUCCACAGUCCUUUGAUGGAGUAUCAGAGAGGGUAAUAAUCCCGUCUUUAACGUGGACCGCCAGUGUUUAUGUGAUGCACUCUCUCAGAGUCGAGUAGUUUGGGAAUGCUGCUCUAAUGGGAGGUAAACUCCUUCUAAAGCUAAAUAUGGGCGAGAGACCGAUAGCGAACAAGUACCGUGAGGGAAAGAUGAAAAGAACUCUGAAAAGAGAGUCAAACAGAACGUGAAAUUGCUGAAAGGGAAGCGUUUGGAGUCAGAUGCGUCUUCAUGCAGUACAGCUCAGUGGCAGAGGCUGGGAGUGGUUACUUGAAGACGGGCCAGCACUCACGUAGACCAUUGGAAAAGGGGUCAUGGAAUGUAGCUCAAUUGCUGAGUGAUUAUAGCCUUGAUUCAUAUACAGUGUGUCUUAUGUGAGAUUGACAGCACGAGUCUUGACUCAGUGCUUGACUGACUGGCAUAAUGGCUCUAAGCGACCCG
rnacentral:rRNA from 1 species